UUCAGUAGGUGAACCUGCGGAAGGAUCAUUAUCGGUUGGUCUGACUUAACGUCGGAUAAACUGGUCAACACCUCGGGACUGGCCUCUUCUGGCCUGUUCUAGCGGUCCCGGCCUGUCUGCUGGAGACCUGCCACGUCGGGUGUCGUUCUGCCGAUAGCUUGUCGGUGGUCUGUGCCCCGUCGGCCCGUUGUUCAGAGGUACCGUAGCCCACCUUUAGGGCGUAGCUUCGGCGAACGGUUCAAAGAGCUCUCGCCUCUCUUCGGGUUUUCGAUCUCCCCCUCGAUGGGUUGUCUUAACUGUUUUUUGCUCACGACGAGUAGGCCUAGGCCGAAGUCACACUCGGACUCACGUCUGAGAAUCCAAACACAACACUAUACAGUGGAUCAUUUGGCUCGGGGGUCGAUGAAGAACGGAGCUAACUCUGUGAUGCCGUGUGAACCGCAGGACACAUGAACAUCGACACUUUGAACGCAUAUUGCGGAAAUAAGCUUGUCUUGUUUCCAUAUCUGGCUCAGGGUCGGUUAAACAUCCAUCAGACAGCUUGCUGUUUGCAUUGAGCUGCCGUCUCACAUUUGUGGGGCGCUGCUCCAAGGUAGCCGUACGGAGUUCACAGACUCAACUCUUGGGAACCUACGUGUCCUGGGUUGUCGACGUGGCCGCAUGUGCUUGGCGUGGGACCUGACUGAUUGUCCCGUAAACGCCUGCCAAACCUCACUUUCGACCUGAGAUCAGAUAAGAUUACCCGCCGAAUUUAAGCAUAUC
rnacentral:rRNA from 1 species